GUGAUCCAGGAGUGGGAGCUGUAUCACAGCCACUCUCGUACAUGUUUCAGGAUGUCAGUGGGGCAGUUUGAACUCUUGUUAGCAGAGUUGGAACCACACGUGAGGAGGGUCACGUGGGGGCUGGAGCCCAUUACCAGCUGUCAUUGAGAGAAUGAAGAGGUAUGCCCUGGAAGGUCGCCAGUCUAUUGCAGAACUAACACAGAGAGACAGAUGACCAUUCACAUUCACACGGCCAAUUUAGACUGGCCAAUUAACCCAACCACAUGCAUGUCGUUGGACUGCAGGGGGAAGCUAGGGAAAUCCAGCACAGGGACAACAUGCAAAGUCCACACAUAACUGUCCCGGGAAGCCGGUGAAUUCCAGGCACCAGUCCUACCCACGAGACCGCAGUGCUAUUCGUCUGUAUGGGUUACCUCCUAAUAGGUAACUGUUCUGCAUUCUGUUGAAUCCCUCCAAAUGUGGUGGUGCUGUGGUGCUGGGUCUUGGACCUUAUUGAGUUGCAUUUCCUUUGCAUGGUGUCCUGAACUUUGGCUUGUUGUCUUAUCGUCCAUAGUUUCCUUGGUUACACUCACCUGUUAAUCUUGAGGGAUAGUAGGUGUUCCCGUUAUGUUACUUCCUGUUUUAUUUUAUUAAUCUUUUCUCUCAUGUGUUUAGUAUUCACUUUUCUUUCUCCAGUCCUGUUCCCCAAGUUGUCUGCACCUGUGUUUUCUGCAGCUGUUAUGACUUCCUUCCUGUUUCUGUCAGUGCAGUUGGUAACUCUUCCUGACAUGUUUCUUCUUGGUUUAUGUUCCUGCUCCUACAGUUUCCCCAUACUUUGAUUUUGUCACCCGUUAGACUUUGUUACUUUUGGACUGUACCUGGGAUUUCCAUUAAAAGUAGAUUUUGAGUUUUCAUUUC